UAGCGUAGGGGGCAAGCGUUGUCCGGAAUCAUUGGGCGUAAAGCGCGUGUAGGACGGCUUGGUAACGUCUGCUCUGAAAACCCGGGGGCUCAACCCCGGGCCUGCAGUCGAUACGGGCAGGACUAGAGUGCGGUAGGGGAGACUGGAAUUCCUGGUGUAGCGGCGAAAUGCGCAGAUAUCAGGAGGAACACCGAGUGGCGAAGGCAGGUCUCUGGGC
rnacentral:rRNA from 1 species